AUGUUUGUGUUCUUAUUUAUUUUUCAGGGUGAUCGAGGUCCUCCUGGUCCUUUGGGUCCUCCAGGAGAGAAAGGUUCAACAGGGUAUCCGGGUCUUCCAGGAGGUCCUGGGGAUUUCGGCCCGCAAGGUCCACCAGUAUGUUUACCCAUGAUCCUCUGCGGUUCGAAACACAAAUUUUGGAGUGAAAGAUUGAGGUUGGGAGUAACUUUCCACUUAGCUGACAUUUUACUUUAUCUCUUUGUCUCAAGGGUCCACAAGGGCCGAGAGGAGCAGCAGGCAUUUCCGGGCCGAAAGGAAGAAGGGGCCCCAGGGGACCUGACGGCCCUCCAGGAGAGCCGGGCCCUGAGGGGGUAAAGGUAAAGACCCCAAAAAUACACACACAGAGAAUUAUAGAGGCUUGUUGUAAAAGUUAAAACAUUGCGAUGGCGUUUAUGUCUCUUGUGUCGUAUACCAACUUCCUGUUUCAGGAGGAAAUAGAUCACACAGGAUAGAAAACUGAACUCUAAUGGUGCUUUCCACACCACUGCAAAACCCAGAACAAUCCCGUCAACAAUCACAAAAACACAUGCUUUUGUUUCGCAGGGUGAAAAGGGAUUGCCAGGGAAGAACGGAGCUCCUGGAUUCAUCGUAAGCAACUCUGAACACUUAAACAUUGAUCAAAAUUAAAAACUUGAGACGCCUUCAUAUGGAAAGGCUGUUCAUCUGUGUGUGUGUGUGUGUGUGUGUGUGUGUGUUUGCAGGGUAAAGCUGGAGCUCCAGGGAAGAGAGGAGCAGCAGGAGCGCCUGUAAGUCUCAUUCUAGCAGCUUUAUUUAAAAACACUUCAUAUUGUAACAUACUUUAUUUAAAUAAAAUAUAUGCAUUUAGCAGACAAUGACUUCCAUUGCAUUUAGGCUAACAAUUUCCUCCUAACAUGUGUUCCCUGGGAUUCGAACCCCUAACCUUGCGCUUGAUAACACAAUGCUCUACCACUUGAGCUACAGGAAAGAGUCAAACUAAUUGCAUGAAAAUAUGUUUCCAAAAUUAGUGUUAUUUUUGUUUAAACAAAUAUUAUUGUUUUCUUUUAAUACUCAAGUAUUAAAAUAAUCACUAUGAG
rnacentral:lncRNA from 1 species